rnacentral:rRNA from 1 species
GUAGGUGGCAAGCGUUGUCCGGAAUUAUUGGGCGUAAAGCGCGCGCAGGGCGGUCCUUUAAGUCUGAUGUGAAAGCCCACGGCUCAACCGUGGAGGGUCAUUGGAAACUCGGGGGACGUUGAGUACAGAAGAGGAAAGCGGAAUUCCAAGUGUAGCGGUGAAAUGCGUAGAGAUUUGGAGGAACACCAGUGGCGAAGGCGGCUUUCUGGUCUGUAACUGACGCUGAGGCGCGAAAGCGUGGGGAGCAAACAGGAUUAGAUACCCUGGUAGUCCACGCCGUAAACGAUGAGUGCUAAGUGUUAGGGGGUUUCCGCCCCUUAGUGCUGCAGCUAACGCAUUAAGCACUCCGCCUGGGGAGUACGGCCGCAAAGGCUG